rnacentral:rRNA from 1 species
UGUGCGCGAGUCUCUGGGUUAUCAAACCCAAAGGCGUAAUCAAGGUGAAGGGGAAUACCUCUUCCCCCAGGGAGGACGUGGGCUUGCUCUUCCCGGGCGGCCCUCCGCACUCCCGGGGCGUCUCGCGCUCAUUGCGAGUGGAGGCGCACCUAGAGCGUUCACGUUGGGACCCGAAAGAUGGUGAACUAUGCCUGGCCAGGACGAAGCCAGGGGAAACCCUGGUGGAGGUCCGUAGCGGUUCUGACGUGCAAAUCGAUCGUCGGAGCCGGGUAUAGGGGCGAAAGACUAAUCGAACCAUCUAGUAGCUGGUUCCCUCCGAAGUUUCCCUCAGGAUAGCUGUCGCCCAAGUGAGACGAGUCUCAACCGGUAAAGCGAAUGAUUAGAGGCCUUGGGGUCGAAACGACCUCAACCUAUUCUCAAACUUUAAAUGGAUGAGAACCCCGACUUGCUUGACUUGUUGAGUGAAGUCGGGGCUCGGAUCCGGGCGACAAGUGGGCCAAUUUUGGUAAGCAGAACUGGCGCUGUGGGAUGAACCAAACGCGGAGUUAAGGCGCCCAAAUCGACGCUCAUCAGACACCAUGAAAGGCGUUGCGUUGGACUCCUUGGUCCGUGUUACAAGACGGGUCGGGUGAGAGCUCGAAACUGCGGCGCCGCUGACGGGUGAUGCGAACUCGGCCCCAGAACCACCGCCCGACAGCCGGAGGCGAGGCGGCGCGGGCACCCUGGGUGCCCGCGACCGCACUCGGCGACCGACUCGGCGGGGGUCGGAGGCGCUCCUAGGAGCGGUUCGACCACCGUCGUCUGCUACCGUCCGUAACGCCGCCUCGGCCCGACCAACUCGGGAGCCGGUGGCCUUGCGACCGCCGGCUAACCCGAGACUUGGUGUCGGGCCGUUAGGCCUUGCUUCCGGAAGGGUCGCGACGUCCUACUGAGAGAGAAGGGGGUCACCACGCCCCCCCCCCCUCCCGAGCGAGCUUGCGAAAACGGGAGCGCGAGCGGCCGGCCGGCCGGUCGAUCGACCCAGGUUGAAAGGGUGGCGCUCUAGGUCGGGCGAAGGGGAAUCCGGUCUCUAUUCCGGAACCUGGCCAGCGGUACCGUUCCAAGUCGGGCCCUCGGACGAGGACUCGUCGGGGUAACCAAAAAGGACCCGGAGACGCCGUCGGGAGAUCCAGGGAGAGUUGUCUCUUCUCUAUAAGCGUUCGAGUUCCCUGAAAACCUCUCGCAGAGAGAUAGGGUUUGGAGCGCGAAGAGCACCGCAGUUACGGCGGUGUCUGGAUCUUCCCCUCGGACCUUGAAAAUCCGGGUGAGGGCUACGAGGAACACCGCGCCAGACCGUACCCAUAUCCGCAGCAGGUCUCCAAGGUGAACAGCCUCUAGUCGUUAGUAUAAUGUGAGUAAGGGAAGUCGGCAAACUGGAUCCGUAACCUUGGGAUAAGGAUUGGCUCUGAGGAACGUGGUGAGCCGGGCUUGGUUGGGAAGUGGAGCGGUGUCAACGAUCCGGGCCUGGGCGUUGGAGAGUAUUGCACGAUCCUCCGCUCGGUCCCGCGACUUGGCCACCCACGGACCUUCCUUGCUGCGAGCUGCAGGCCGCCUAGCCACCGGUCUCGACCGGAGGGCGGGCCUGCUGUCUCUUCGGCCACCGAUUAACGUUCGGCUCAGAACUGGCACUGACCAGGGGAAUCCGACUGUCUAAUUAAAACAAAGCAUUGCGAUGGCCCCAGCGGGUGUUGACGCAAUGUGAUUUCUGCCCAGUGCUCUGAAUGUCAACGUGAAGAAAUUCAAUAAAGCGCGGGUAAACGGCGGGAGUAACUAUGACUCUCUUAAGGUAGCCAAAUGCCUCGUCAUCUAAUUAGUGACGCGCAUGAAUGGAUUAACGAGAUUCCCGCUGUCCCUACUUACUAUCUAGCGAAACCACAGCCAAGGGAACGGGCUUGGAAAAAUCAGUGGGGAAAGAAGACCCUGUUGAGCUUGACUCUAGUCUGGAACUGUAAGGAGACAUGAGAGGUGUAGCAUAAGUGGGAGGUGUUGCUUGUCUUCACCGACAGUGAAAUACCACUACUUUCAUAGUUUCCUUACUUACUCGGUGAGGCGGAAGGCGUCCGUCGCUGGCCUCCCGGCCACGGCGAGACGGUCUUCUUGCGCCAAGCGCGGGGGUUGGCGCCGGCCUCCUGUAGCGUCGGUUUCCCGGCUGGUCGCGAGGGCCUUGCAGGUUCUAACGGCCCGAGUGGAAGUCCGGCGCGAUCCAGGAGCGUGUGGUUAGCCAACGUACUCCUCGGCGUGAUCCGAUCCGAGGACACUUCCAGGUCGAUAGUUUGACUGGGGCGGUACAUCUGUCAAACAAUAACGCAGGUGUCCUAAGGCCAGCUCAGCGAGGACAGAAACCUCGCGUAGAGCAAAAGGGCAAAAGCUGGCUUGAUCCCGAUGCUCAGUACGCAUAGGGACUGCGAAAGCACGGCCUAUCGA